UUGUGAUGGAUUUGUGCAUCAGCAUCAAGAGGAGCCUCAUCUGUUGAUGACACUGAUUCAGAUACACAUCGAGAUUUCUCACCAGCAGUACUAGAAUUCCCAUUCCCUUUUACCUCAUGAACUGAAUCAUGCAGAAAACAAUCCUGGUGUGGUUUUGGUUUCAUAUCAAAGUUUCUUGAACACGGACUUCUGAAUCUCCUAGGUUUUCU
rnacentral:lncRNA from 1 species